GACGAACGCUGGCGACGUGCCUAACACAUGCAAGUCGAGCGAAUGAAGUUCCUUCGGGAAUGGAUUUAGCGGCGGACGGGUGAGUAACACGUGGGCAACCUGCCUCAUAGAGGGGAAUAGCCUUCCGAAAGGGAGAUUAAUACCGCAUAAGAUUGUAGUACCGCAUGGUACAGCAAUUUAAGGAGCAAUCCGCUAUGAGAUGGGCCCGCGGCGCAUUAGCUAGUUGGUGAGGUAACGGCUCACCAAGGCGACGAUGCGUAGCCGACCUGAGAGGGUGAUCGGCCACAUUGGGACUGAGACACGGCCCAGACUCCUACGGGAGGCAGCAGUGUGGAAUAUUGCACAAGUGGGGAAACCCUGAUGCAGCAACGCCGCGUGAGUGAUGACGGCCUUCGGGUUGUAAAGCUCUGUCUUCAGGGACGAUAAUGACGGUACCUGAGGAGGAAGCCACGGCUAACUACGUGCCAGCCGCCGCGGUAAGAC
rnacentral:rRNA from 1 species